rnacentral:piRNA from 1 species
CAUGGAGCACUGGGCACAUAGGC